rnacentral:lncRNA from 1 species
GUUAGUAUUCCAAUGCGCUAACCGCUACACCACGGCUCUCGUUAAUUUCUAUAUUUUAUUUGUGUUGCCCUAUAUUCUUUAUUCUUUAUAUUUUAGCACUCCAGUGUUCUCUUUUUUUUGUGUCUGUAUUUCUCUCAAUCUUAUUAGAAUAACACGGCGACAUAUAAAAAAUCGAGGAGCAAGUGAUGAGAACUUAUUUUAAUAAGAUUGUAUUUCUCUACUCAUCAUGUUUUGCCCUUUAUUUAUUUUUUUGCUUAUUUUUUAUUCUCAAUAUUCUGUAAACCCCACCCCAUCGAGACACUCUUGUUUAUAACGUAAAAUAUAAUUAAACUCUACCAUAUACCACUUUAGGUGUAAACUUUUGGUUUAUGAUACAUAUGACCAAUCGAUAAGUAAUUAUGGUAGUAUUUGUGUUAAAAGUUUCUUUCUACUAACUAGAUAUAAUAUA